ensembl:lncRNA
CGAAAUUGUGCGGCUGGAUCUCUCACUUUGUCCCUGAAGCGGAGAAGAAGUUUAAAGGACAGUUAAUCGCCUGAUGAAGACCGAUAGAACAUCGUGGACUUGAAUACAGCAGGCAAACGACAGUGCCACUGAUCCAGUAACACUGAUGACGACUGACGACCAGCAGCAGCAUUUUGUUAUUUUCAGGAGUAAAGCAGACCUGGACCAAUUCUCCAGAUCCAGGAGUCAGACGAAACUACAGGUUAAGAUGAAUGGAUAUGUUAAGGCAAGUUUCUGGUUGAAUUGUUCACAGCAUGAUGUGUCCAGGAACCUGAAAAGCAAGCCCCAGCUCCUGGCUGAAGACCAGGAGGGCGGUAAUUUAAGGUGGGAAAUCAAAAUGUGGGUUAGUAACUCGGGAAAAAGAAAACUGACUGCUUAACUGGAGAGUUGGGAAGAAGUCUGGGAGACUGUGAAGCCAUAGAUGCAAAAUAACAUAUACCCAUACACACACAAACAGAAAAUACAUUAACCUUAUAAAGACAAGCUCCUGAAGCUUAAUGAACAGAUAUUGAUUAAAAACCUGGCUAAGAACAUAAGCAUAUGCAAUGAAGAUCUGCUUGCUGCUUGUAUGAGUGAGAGAAUGGUGUGAAUGGUUAAUACAAUUGAUGGAAAGAUUUAAAAGAGAUGGAAAAAAAACAAAACAAAAGAAAAGUGUUUAUAAGAGUGACUCAGGAGUGCUCUUGCACUGAUUGAUCAAAGUAAGUGAUUAGUAUAGAAAGAAAAUGAAAAUAAUUAAAUAAUGUGAUAAAGUUUAAACAUGUAUUUCUUUUGCCAAGUUAAAUUGUUGAGAUAUGGCUGAGUAUGGAAAAGUUUGAGAGCUUGUGUGAAUGUGGACAGAGGAGCUUGCUGUGUGUGUGUGAUUGAGGCCUUAAAGGAGGGGUAGAUUGUUCAGAGGUGCAAAUUUGAUUAGGAGGUUUAUAAAUUAGUGUUGACACAUUGUUGUAAGGUGUUAGGCUGAAUCUGAGUAUGGUAAAGUGCUUAACCGGGGUUAUUGUUGUGUAC